CCCUUCCCAGCUUCUUGUGCCCCUCGCAGAGCUGAGACGUCCUUCACUGGUGUAAGCACCGCUCAGCAACAGCUAAACCAUCGCAAUGGGUCAAGAAGCUGGCAAACCAGCCUGGCCCAAACCAGCAGGAGGAUACCAAACUAUUACGGGUAGAAGAUACGGAAGAAGACAUGCCUAUGUUGGUUUUAGACCAUCUUUGAAUAGCCAAGAGAGAGAUGAACAUCAACACAAUGAAGACUGCGAACGAUUAGAAUUGGAGAAUAUUCAGAAAGAGAAUUCUUUAUGUUCCAGUACACUGGUUCAAGUUUCUUCUGGUUUAUUGGAUGAGCCUUUGUUAGAAAAUAUUGGAACUGGAGAACCUGUUUGCCAAAGUGUAUCGAGCCAAACUUUUGAAACAAACACAUCACCAUUUUCUCUGUUCUCUUAUGGUCUGGAAGGCAACAAAAUCUCAGGGAACUUUAUGAAUCCUUAUGAAAAUUCUGAGGACCUUGCAGAAGAUGCAUCUGGAGGGCAUAAGGAUUUGAAGGGUCAGAAUGGAAUUGCUUUUGUAAACAUUGACUCUUACGAGCCAGAUAGCAGUGAUGGAGAGGAAGGUGAUGCUCAAGACAAAUUUUCUUUGACAAGAGAAGAAGCAGGUGUAUUUCAGGAAACGCUAGAUAACAUGCUUUCUGAGUUAGAAAAAGGCGUAGAGUCUUUUACUGACCUACAGUCCCAGUUGUCUGUUCUCAACCGCAGUGUCUCUAGAGAACGUUGCGAAGAAGCAGGAUCAAUGCCUUUAAUGAGAUAUUUUAGCAUAGACUCAGACUUGGCUUGUCCAAACAACAGGACAUUUAAAUGUGCUGAAGAUCAAGAUAUACCAAAAAGUAACCAGAGUGGUGCCACUUGUGAAACACAGCAGAUAAAAAAUGUACUGGAUGUUGGAAUUGGAACCCCUAUAGCAAUUGUUAAUGAAUUGAAUGUCAAUGAUAUCAAGACUGCCCAGGGAAAUUCACGUGAGCUGGUAGUGAGACCUAAAAUAAGAAAACAAAAUACUGCAAACCAGUUGGAGAGAGAGAAGCUUCUCCCUAAUGAUGAUGAACAGGAAAGUGGCUCCUGGAGGAGAAGUGAAAUUGCUGAAGUCAUGCAAGGCCGUGCUGAGUGUGCCUUGAGAAAUAGCAAAGGAGAGAUGAGUUCUAGUAUGUUCUUUGACUCAAGAGAGUAUGAAGGUCAUCGAAAGAACACAGAAAUAGACCUAAGGAAAAAUGCAGCAGCUCAAGAACAAAAAAACACGCUAGGUGAUAGCACUUUUUGGGAUGAGUUUGAAGACUGCAGCAGACCCUUCUCAGUGUCCCACAAAGAUGAAGACAGCUCAGAAUGCAGUGAUGGCGAAUGGUCUACAGCUGUACCUGCCUAUUUUACGGCUACGGAAAAAGACCAGUCCUCAAGUGAUGAGAGCUGGGAGACUGUCCCAGGCAGGGAGGAAUGUGAGCCUGAAGUGCAGAGCAGCAGCAGUGGCAUAGAAGAGGAGAACACAAACUUCUGUUUCCAAGGAGGGGAACAGACAUUAUUGGAGGAGGGAGAGAUUCGUUGGUUACAGUACCGGGAACGAGUAGAAAGUAGCAGUGAUGAGGAAAAUGAUCCAGUUAGUGACUUUGUGCAUCCUGGAUUCUUCCUGUUGGAUGGAAAUAACAACCUUGAGGAUGACUCCAGUGUGAGUGAAGACCUGGAUGUGGAGUGGAGACUACUUGAUGAGUUUGGUGAUGGCCUAGGACUUGCUCAAGCCAUUCCUUAUGUGGAUCCUGAGUUUCUCACAUUUAUGGCGCUAGAGGAACACUUACAACAAGCUGUGGAGGUGUUAAAAUAUUCUUGGUGGUAUUAUAUCAGUGGUGUUGUGACAUAAGUUUUUAUAUCGAAUACUUUUUCAGCAUGAUCUGAAAAUUGGGGGAAAAAAUACUUUCCUGUUUUAACUUGAACUUUCAGGUCUUCAAGCCUGAAAAUAAAUGUUGGAAGUUCUUUCAAAUGAUGUAGUGCAAGAAGUCAUUGAUCAGCACUAGUCCUUUUAGAAUAUGUAUUUAUUUCUCUUAAAAGAAAAAAGAUACUGAUUUCUACCAGUGUAAACAUAGGGUAUUUAAAUUCUUCUAAAGAAUGUUGCCAAUUUCUCUGCAUAAUCAAGGAAAGUUCAUACCUGGAUCUGUGCCUAUGAAUUGACCCAGCUUUUUUUUUUUGCAAGACUACAGUUGGAUGUCUUAUAUUUUUUAUUCCUCAGUAGAUGACUUUCCUGUGUUUGACUGUCUUGAUUCCAUGUGUUUAAAAAAAAACAAAACAAAACGCCCCAAAAAAACCCAAACCAAACAAAAAACCCAAGAAACCACCCAAAAGCAAAAAAGCUUUUUAUCUUCCGUAUCUUAUUUAAUCUGCCUAACUUUUGAUGAACCAGAGCAUUUCUUACUGAGAACAAGAAUGGUUAUGAUCUUUGUCUUUUCUGUGUUACAUGAUGUUGGUCACUGCCAGAGUAAAUAUGGAGCUAGCUGAAAUUCACUUUGAUGCAAUGCGACAAUUCUUGCACUGCCAGAGAUCUCCCCUGCAGGGUAUUUGUCAAAAUAAGUGUUAAAUGAUGUGUAGCAUAUAACUGAAUGUUUUGUGCGUGACAUAAGUUUAGGGGCAUCAAGGGGCAGUUUUGACUACUAGCUCUUAGUUAAAAGGGGUGAACAGGGCAGACUGUAUGUCAUAGCAUGCUUGCAGACAAAAUACCAAGGAUGCUUUAAAAUGCUUUCUAAAGCUGACAGUCAGUGGAACAAUCAGAUUUUUUUUUUCAUGGACGUGUGCAAAAUCAAUGAUUCUGUGAGUAAACUUCAUGGGGAUUUUCCAAGGGGGUGGAAGGGUUGCUCCCUGAAGCUGGCAGUCCUACAGUUUCCAGGUAUUUGUGCAUCCCUCAAGGUACGUGGGGGGUCAGAAUUAUUCAUGAUCAAGUACAGUAGGGUCUUUUCCAGCUGUGUAGGAGCUUGUUAUUAUUAUUCAUCUGGACACACUUCAGAACUGCUUAUUAAUUUGUAGGGGGUCUGUUGAUAACCUUACUAUAAAAGAAGUAUUUUGAAGUUGUAUGGAGAAAAUUCCUUGUCUCUUUCAUAGUUGCUAGUUCUCACUACAUCAAAAAAGACAGAACUACAGAAGCAGUUGACCUCCUUUGCACCAGAGCAAGAGGAUCUGUGUAGAGAGGGGAAACUAAUCCAACCUUUUCUUUUUUUCUUUAAUCUAUGUGUUAACACUUGAGGAGGAGUCUGAGGCUAUAACAGCUCUUGAGUUUUUCUUUCUCAUUAUUCUGUAACAUAUCCCUAGUUACUCUGUGAAAAAUUACGUGUGCACUCUUGUUACGCUUGACCUGUAAAAGCAAUCCUAGGUGGCUAUGUGCAUGGCUGGCUGAGAAGAUGCUGUAAUUAUGUUAGUAUCACCAGGAAUGGGGUGCCAUUGAACACGCUUGGCAAGCAGGUGGACUACAAAGGUAGUUAUUCUGUGGUACCUGUGGUACAAGUCACUGUGGAUGUUGGACAAGAGGGAAAGCCAAUUCUCUUAAAUACUGUUUGUGCUUGAAAUUAGUACAUAGGGGUCUGAAACCCAAUUUACAUGGGCAUAGAAGUCUGGCAUAAUUGGAAUUAGUCAGCAGAAAAUGGUAACUGAGUAAUGAAAGGACUGGCUAUAUUGAUUGUGACUAAAGGGACAACACAGGUGUUGAGUAAGAAUUCUGAAUGUUUCUUCCAAAUCUCAAGCAGAGUAUGUAGAGCACCUCUUUUUCCAGUGUGAAGGUAGUUACUCAAAUUGUUGAGAAAAAUUAGAUAAAGGAUUACCCAAAAGUGUUCAAUGUUUUUCUUAGGCAAUGUUGCAAGUAUUUCUGGAAGUUAAGAGAAAGCAAGCCAAAAAGGCUCUGUAACGUCUAUCUAUCCAGAAUUAAGUUUCAUUGUUGCUGAGAUCCUGUGUUUUAAUGACCACAGUGAGAUGUAGACAGGAUCAGAAUAUAAUAUUUCCUGCUUUCUAGAAAAGGACUUGCAAAUGGCUAGUCUAGUGUGAUCUCUUAAUAAAAUAUGAUGUGACCCUGUUCCUGACUGGCUUAACAUAGAUGAGAAACUUUGUGUUCCUGGAAGGACAUUCAGAACAGCCUUUAAACGCACCUUUCCUGGUUGUCAGACAAUUGUAGAUGCAGAAGUGUCUUCCACAAAUUUAAAAUGUACAAUCUUUUAUUGAAAUAGUAAAUAUCUCAUAGUGUUACAAAGCCUUUUCCCUUAUCUUUGGUACUGUGGUCACAGCGCCUGCUCAGAUAUCCAAAGUGUGACAUACAGAAUUUUCACAGGGGAAAAAAAAUCUUUUUUUUUUUUUUUUUAAAAAGGUUUCUUUUGUGAUGCAAAGACCAAACUGAACUAAAUUUUCAAGUUUGGGUAAGAGAUAUUGCUGAAAAUGUCUUUGCUGUCUGCUAGAAAAUGCAAUUUCUGAUUUUACAUUUCUAGGGUGUAUAGAAAAUGUUUGUAACAUGACGAUUUUUGUUCCACAGUUUGUUGCAAUUGUAUCUGUGUCAAGUCGAGAGUUGGAGAUCACUGUGAGGGGUAUCUUAGUAACCAAGGUCAAGGUGAUCAGGCUUGAGAGCUCUUUGAGGGAAGUGAGAAUUGUAGUUAGUUGUCUAUCUUCAUCAUGAUUGGUAUUUUAUGCUCCUCAUCCCUCUCCCCAAGAGUAAAGGGAGUGAUUUCAUCUCUUCUUGACAUAGUUCACCUUAUUUUGGAGAUCAGGGCUUGUUCUGGUUUUGCUAGAUAUUUUUCUGCAGGAUGAUUAGAUUUGUCAGUUUCACCAGAUACCUUUCCUGUUUGUUGUACAGCUUUUGUUCUCACCUUCCAGAUCUUACUGCUUGCAUGUGUGCUUUUUCUCUGUUUGAACAACUGUACCCCCAGCUGGUUUGCCACCUUGCAGUUACAUAAUACCUAUGCAUUCAUACUCAGCUUUCUAGCAUGCUACUCGUUUGCGCUAAAACAUAACUGGCAAGAGCUAUUACUUAAAUCUUACUUAGUCCCAUUCUACCUUAUGGGUGCAACAUACCUCUGCUUUUGCUUCAGGAUUGAAAUGUAACCCAUCUGCUUCCUGGUAAUAAGUAUUUUUGCACCAGAGAUUUUCUGAUGGAGAAUGCUCUAAUGAGCUUUGACUUGCUUUAAGUAUUAUUCUUAUUUAAUGAACAGAUUGGGUUGAGUUUAAUUAUAACAUCAUUAAUAAUCUGUCUAAUGACUGUGACUGUAUUCAACCUGUUACUGAUUUACUUAAUCCACCUCCUUACGUUUCCCCAAAUUUUCUUAUCUUAAACAGUAGAUUCAUUAACGGGAUAUUUUUCAUCUGUAACAAUGUAAUUUAUUACAAAAGUCUAUUAUAGCUCAGAAAAUGUUCUGAAAAUUUAUCUAUCUAGCAAACUAAUCUACUGUAGCUAUGAAACACUUGAAAAGGGGUGUGAAAUGAUAACACAUCCAAAAUUCAAGUGUAUCUUAACUGGGGGUGAGGGGGGGUCUGCCCCAAUUAAUUGUGACUUUUCAAGGGGAGAAGUGAAUAUAUAUUUUUUUUUUUAAUAAAAGCUAUAUUAUAUAAAACUCUCAGAUCCUAAAAUGUAAUAACCUGUAUGCAUGAUUUUUUUUUUUACUUCCAUUUGUUUUAAAGAAAUUACUUACCUGGGAGUGUUUGGUUUACUUCAUUAGCAAUAUACAACAGGCUGGGUGUCUGCAGCAUCAGUGACUGCAUUUAUGAAUAUUUCCUGUGCUGAUUCACAGAUGUGAGGAGCUCAAAACCCUGUAGGUUGUACCACUCCUGGUUUUAGCAGUGUCCAUCAUUUGGUUUAUGGUACAUGGAGCAGUAAGCAGUUGCACAAGUAAUAACAGGAAGGAAAUAAACAUGUCUUUGAAGUUACAACAAUGUUAUAAAAAUUGUAAAAUGGACAAUUCUUUGCUCUGCUUUAGUUCUGAAGAUGAGGUUUUAAGCAUCAGAGUUAUUGUCAGGCUUUCUGUCUGUGAUGUUUCUCUUGUGCAGCUUUCAAAAGAAAACAGUACAAUGCUCUUGUAAAUUGUUUGCUGUUUGAGUACUAAUACUGGAUAUAGGCACAGAGGGUGGAGACACAGGUAAUAUGGCAUCCUUCUGUCUGCCUGGGAUCUUACUAAUUUUUCCAGCUGUAGUACUUAAUCUACUUAAGCUUCAUAUUUUACCUACAAAUUAUUCUCAGACCAUUGCAGCUGUAGCAAAAUACCAUUACAAGUACUAAAGUCACCUUAACGUUAGUAAGGCAGCGCUAUCUACUGUAGUAGAACUGAAUGUUUUUAAACUGUUAAAUUGGAGGAGUGUACCUGUAUUGCACGUGGACUUGCAUGCUGCACUAGGGGUAACUGUCCGAGGAUUUCCUUUAACUUAGCAGAUUUCUAGAGGAGAAUAUGCAUGGCAGUAAGAGCUGUAAAUAUUUCUGUUGGCUCAUGCUGAUGUCUCUGCUGCCACAAACAUUUGACUGUAGGUGUAAACCUGCUAGUUUAUAUCUGUGGUGGGAUGCUUGCCUGAGCUACCUUGCCACUGUGAUAAAAGUGCAGGCAUGUUUUCAGGCUGCAGCUCUAGUAAUUUUCUUUGAAGUUUAAGAGGAAAGACUACUGAAAAUGUUUGUGUAUAAUCCAAUGUUUCUUUAGUAUAUUUCUGGGUGUUUUUUAGUUAAGUGUGCCUGACAACACUAUAAAAACCUCAGGUUAUCUUCCUACCAAGGGCGGUUUUUGGCCAUUAGAAUAAAUAAUUUUCGUGCUGAUUAGAGCAGUAAGUAGUUGUACUUGAGGAGCGUGACUAGUUCAUUAAGGAUAUGAACUCGGUACUCCUGUGUUCUUGGCUCUUCAGUUUCAGUUUGUUCUGCUGUUCAAACAGGUGUAUCUAGUACAUUUCUUAGCUAAUAUAACAAAUCUGAGUUCUGUGUUGCAUUUUUUUUCUACUGGAGAUCCUUUCAGUGGCUUAUGGGGUUGAAUGUAUGAUGUAAAGGUCAAAUCUGCCUGCUGUAGCAUCAGAAUCUUAAAGUUUUUGUAUGGUGCAACAAGAUGACUUCAGAGCACUAUGUCUUCAGUCAUUACACAGAUGAGAAACAUCUAUGUGGAUCCUGUUUUCCUCUGAAAGCUUGCAUUGGUGGUGUAGCCGAGACUGCUUUGGCACAUUUGGAAUCUCUUGGAUUUGAUGUUGAACAGGCUCAUCCACCG